rnacentral:rRNA from 1 species
GGGUUGUGAGGUUAAGCGACUAAGCGUACACGGUGGAUGCCCUGGCAGUCAGAGGCGAUGAAGGACGUGCUAAUCUGCGAUAAGCGUCGGUAAGGUGAUAUGAACCGUUAUAACCGGCGAUUUCCGAAUGGGGAAACCCAGUGUGAUUCGUCACACUAUCAUUAACUGAAUCCAUAGGUUAAUGAGGCGAACCGGGGGAACUGAAACAUCUAAGUACCCCGAGGAAAAGAAAUCAACCGAGAUUCCCCCAGUAGCGGCGAGCGAACGGGGAGGAGCCCAGAGCCUGAAUCAGUGUGUGUGUUAGUGGAAGCGUCUGGAAAGGCGCGCGAUACAGGGUGACAGCCCCGUACACAAAAAUGCACAUGCUGUGAGCUCGAUGAGUAGGGCGGGACACGUGGUAUCCUGUCUGAAUAUGGGGGGACCAUCCUCCAAGGCUAAAUACUCCUGACUGACCGAUAGUGAACCAGUACCGUGAGGGAAAGGCGAAAAGAACCCCGGCGAGGGGAGUGAAAAAGAACCUGAAACCGUGUACGUACAAGCAGUGGGAGCACAGAGCAAUCUGUGUGACUGCGUACCUUUUGUAUAAUGGGUCAGCGACUUAUAUUCUGUAGCAAGGUUAACCGAAUAGGGGAGCCGAAGGGAAACCGAGUCUUAACUGGGCGUUAAGUUGCAGGGUAUAGACCCGAAACCCGGUGAUCUAGCCAUGGGCAGGUUGAAGGUUGGGUAACACUAACUGGAGGACCGAACCGACUAAUGUUGAAAAAUUAGCGGAUGACUUGUGGCUGGGGGUGAAAGGCCAAUCAAACCGGGAGAUAGCUGGUUCUCCCCGAAAGCUAUUUAGGUAGCGCCUCGUGAAUUCAUCUCCGGGGGUAGAGCACUGUUUCGGCAAGGGGGUCAUCCCGACUUACCAACCCGAUGCAAACUGCGAAUACCGGAGAAUGUUAUCACGGGAGACACACGGCGGGUGCUAACGUCCGUCGUGAAGAGGGAAACAACCCAGACCGCCAGCUAAGGUCCCAAAGUCAUGGUUAAGUGGGAAACGAUGUGGGAAGGCCCAGACAGCCAGGAUGUUGGCUUAGAAGCAGCCAUCAUUUAAAGAAAGCGUAAUAGCUCACUGGUCGAGUCGGCCUGCGCGGAAGAUGUAACGGGGCUAAACCAUGCACCGAAGCUGCGGCAGCGACACUAUGUGUUGUUGGGUAGGGGAGCGUUCUGUAAGCCUGUGAAGGUGUACUGUGAGGUAUGCUGGAGGUAUCAGAAGUGCGAAUGCUGACAUAAGUAACGAUAAAGCGGGUGAAAAGCCCGCUCGCCGGAAGACCAAGGGUUCCUGUCCAACGUUAAUCGGGGCAGGGUGAGUCGACCCCUAAGGCGAGGCCGAAAGGCGUAGUCGAUGGGAAACAGGUUAAUAUUCCUGUACUUGGUGUUACUGCGAAGGGGGGACGGAGAAGGCUAUGUUGGCCGGGCGACGGUUGUCCCGGUUUAAGCGUGUAGGCUGGUUUUCCAGGCAAAUCCGGAAAAUCAAGGCUGAGGCGUGAUGACGAGGCACUACGGUGCUGAAGCAACAAAUGCCCUGCUUCCAGGAAAAGCCUCUAAGCAUCAGGUAACAUCAAAUCGUACCCCAAACCGACACAGGUGGUCAGGUAGAGAAUACCAAGGCGCUUGAGAGAACUCGGGUGAAGGAACUAGGCAAAAUGGUGCCGUAACUUCGGGAGAAGGCACGCUGAUAUGUAGGUGAAGUCCCUCGCGGAUGGAGCUGAAAUCAGUCGAAGAUACCAGCUGGCUGCAACUGUUUAUUAAAAACACAGCACUGUGCAAACACGAAAGUGGACGUAUACGGUGUGACGCCUGCCCGGUGCCGGAAGGUUAAUUGAUGGGGUCAGCGCAAGCGAAGCUCUUGAUCGAAGCCCCGGUAAACGGCGGCCGUAACUAUAACGGUCCUAAGGUAGCGAAAUUCCUUGUCGGGUAAGUUCCGACCUGCACGAAUGGCGUAAUGAUGGCCAGGCUGUCUCCACCCGAGACUCAGUGAAAUUGAACUCGCUGUGAAGAUGCAGUGUACCCGCGGCAAGACGGAAAGACCCCGUGAACCUUUACUAUAGCUUGACACUGAACAUUGAGCCUUGAUGUGUAGGAUAGGUGGGAGGCUUUGAAGUGUGGACGCCAGUCUGCAUGGAGCCGACCUUGAAAUACCACCCUUUAAUGUUUGAUGUUCUAACGUUGACCCGUGAUCCGGGUUGCGGACAGUGUCUGGUGGGUAGUUUGACUGGGGCGGUCUCCUCCUAAAGAGUAACGGAGGAGCACGAAGGUUGGCUAAUCCUGGUCGGACAUCAGGAGGUUAGUGCAAUGGCAUAAGCCAGCUUGACUGCGAGCGUGACGGCGCGAGCAGGUGCGAAAGCAGGUCAUAGUGAUCCGGUGGUUCUGAAUGGAAGGGCCAUCGCUCAACGGAUAAAAGGUACUCCGGGGAUAACAGGCUGAUACCGCCCAAGAGUUCAUAUCGACGGCGGUGUUUGGCACCUCGAUGUCGGCUCAUCACAUCCUGGGGCUGAAGUAGGUCCCAAGGGUAUGGCUGUUCGCCAUUUAAAGUGGUACGCGAGCUGGGUUUAGAACGUCGUGAGACAGUUCGGUCCCUAUCUGCCGUGGGCGCUGGAGAACUGAGGGGGGCUGCUCCUAGUACGAGAGGACCGGAGUGGACGCAUCACUGGUGUUCGGGUUGUCAUGCCAAUGGCACUGCCCGGUAGCUAAAUGCGGAAGAGAUAAGUGCUGAAAGCAUCUAAGCACGAAACUUGCCCCGAGAUGAGUUCUCCCUGACCCUUUAAGGGUCCUGAAGGAACGUUGAAGACGACGACGUUGAUAGGCCGGGUGUGUAAGCGCAGCGAUGCGUUGAGCUAACCGGUACUAAUGAACCGUGAGGCUUAACCUUACAACGCCGAAGGUGUUU